AUUUAAGAUGAAUCUGAAUCUACUUUUCAUGAGGCUUUUCUUAGUCGUCUUACGGAAACUAGUGCAACAGAAAGUUCAUCUUUAUGUGACCUUCCUAAACAGAUGGAAGGUGAUCAACAGAGAGCCUCUGAAUAGACUAAGAACAUCUUAAGUAAUUUAGAUGCUGCUGUUGACAAUUUGUCGUAUCUAAAAGAUGGAAUACAUACUGUAGUCUUGAAAAAACUUUCAGAAAAUGGUAAGAGCUAUGUGGGUUUUAUAGUUUUAUUUUUGUAUUAUACUUCAAGCACUGAUCUGUAGACUUAUCUCAGUUUUUGGUGGAUCCUACUCCAUUUUCUAGGAUCUUGAAGGCAAAGGACACCAAGUGAAUUAGAUAGAGAGGUUAAGAACUUGAGGGUGGCAUUUACUGACCUGUUUUUGAAGCAUAACACUUUCAAAGAAACUGCAAAGCCAUCGAGAUAUUGAUGCAAAGAAUAAAGCCGAGCUUAGAAUAUUAAGAGGUAACUCCUAGUGAGUGGAGAGAAGGCACUUCAACUUGGAUUGCAAGUAAUUGCAAAGAUUAAGGGCUAUGCUGAUGCAGCUCAUGCACCUGAAUUCUUUACAACUGCUCCAGCCCUUGUGAUACCAAAAGCUAUUUCAAAUGCUGGUUUAGAUGCUUCUCAGAUUGAUUACUAUGAAAUAAAUGAAGUGUUUUCUGUUGUAGCUCUAGCCAAUCAAAAGCUGCUUGGUCUUAAUCCUGUAUAUUGAGAUGAUUUCUUUGGAGCAAUUCUUGACAACAUUUGUAGUUGAGGCCUUUAGAAUGGAAGAAUGUAUUUCACAAAUUUUUGUAUACAUUUCUUGUUUUGUAUUUAGGGAUAAAGGAAUAUGAAUUGGGCAUAAAUUAUGUUGUAAUAUGAUUUCUUAAGCCUAGACUAGUAGACUAAAUAUUGUAAUUACAUUUGAGUAAUUAAUAAAAAUCUAUUUAUGUUACCUUA